UUUUGAAUCCAAACCACCAGAAUAAAAUGUACAGGAAAUACUUGAAAUUUGAAAUUUAUGGACCAGAAAUAGUAAAUAAAUUCAAAACUCAACUACUUAUACAAAUAUCUGAUGACCAAAGAAAACGCCCUCAAUUAACAUGUACUAUCUUUCCAGGCCAAAUUAGACAUGUGUUUUUCAAAAAUCACCACACGGAUGCGGAUCUUCUAAAAAUUUCAAAGAAAUAUCUAGAUCCAGGAAUAACAAAUGGAAUAUUCACCCCCAUCGAGAUCGCUCAAAAAUGCUCACAGCUUAUAAGACAGCAUUUUUUUUUCCAAAAUUAAAGAUCAAUUUUGCAACCUAAAAUUACCAGACAUUAUCUCUUUGCCGGUUCAACUGGAGUUUAUUAGAAUAUGCCAUAAUUGUGUAGCAUACUGAAUUAUUAUUAAACAAACAUCUUUGACAUUUUAAUAACCCGUAAAAAACCAAUCAAGUUCUAAUUUCACAAGCAAAACCAGCAAAAUGCCGUGCAGAAAAGAUACGUGUCGCGCGUAUUGGUGGUCCGAUUCCACAACACAUGUUGAACAAAUAGACUAUUCAAUGACGAUUGGCUAUCGUCUUUACAAAAGUGAGUCCAAGCUCCUCCCAUAGAAUAAAUGUUGUGUAGAGUUAAGAUUUUCAAUGUAGAGUUAAGUUUGAAUGUAAUGAAAACUAAUGAAGAAAUACAAUUGAAGUUGUACUCUAGACGAGUGAAGAAGUGUUUCUUCUGGAAGAGAAACUCCCGACCGUUUCAAAUGUGACAUGUGUAUCGCACAUGUUAACAUAUCCCAAAAUUCUCAAGGACCACACUUAUCGACACCCUGUAGAUUUCCAACGCCAUCGUACUUUUGAUGACUUAAAGCCGAAGAGACGAUAGAAUAACAAUAUCAAUACAAACAAACUACUUAGAAAUUGAUAAUCAUAUCGCACUAUCCCAGUGGCUCUACGUUGCAUCGGUUGAUGACUUCGAUGGUGAGCAGUGUUUAACAACUUGUUCAGUUAAACUUUUUCUGCUAAAGGAUGAACACUCCAGACCGUAGUCAGUCCGUCGAUAUUUCGGCUUUAAAAUUUGUAGCAUGUUUAAGUGAGAUGAAAGAACUACCAGAUUUAAAGUAGGACAUUUUAAUUUAUUUUUCUUUAAAGUGUUUUCACGUUUCAACAGAUUUUGUUAUCAAUGCUCAUCCGCGUACCUUUUUACCACAAGCUGGCGACUCAGUAACCCAUAUAACUUACCUUUGUGAUACGUUAGAAAUGUUGUCAAUAGAUAUUUUGCGACAAUAUACAGAUUAUGUUAUAAAUGGUAGAAUCCAAGCAAUUUUACCCCAUUUUUUGAUGGUUAUUUUUUAUAAUCUUCCAGAUUUAUUUAAAGGAGUUUACCAAUUCGAUACCAAAAAUCAACCCACCAAUGUAUAGUGCUUCGAAUUUCAGUCAAACAUUUGAUUUAACUGAAAGUGGUGAUAAGUCUUCGGAAAAUGAACCCAAUUGGGUACAAAGUUCAAUGUCAUCUAGUAUAUAUUUGGAAAACUAUGUUUGUUUCAAUGAAAAAUUUCACUUAUAUCUAUACCAAAAAUGGUAUUCAUUUAUGAUGUACUUCAGCCCGAUAAGUGUUUAUGAUUUUAGUUUUAAAUAUCUUCCACAUUUAUUUCAACUAUUGGGACGAUUGGAGGAAGUAAGCCGUUUACUUCUUUUUUAUAGCCUAAUUGUAGGGCAUGAAAUUAAAUUUCCAAUAGAUAAUGCCCGUUGAUUGGCUUUUUUUUUUUUUAAUUUUCAUGUAUCACCAAAUUUUAUAUCAAAUGGAUAUCCGAAUGUUUUUUUUGUCUCCGGUAAACACGGAAAAGUAUAUCAACUUGCUGUGUAGUGAAAUAGAAUUGCGUACGUUUGAUGACUUAAAGCCUGACACGACAAUAAACGUGUUAGGGUUUAUCGAAGCUGAAAUCAGGGACCGGUACAUGCUGGUGUAAUAGGAAAUAUAAAUCAACCGAAAAGGUAUCUUUCAAACAUUCCGAAUUCCACCAAUCAUGUUUACAUUUCAAGUAGCGCAACACUGCAAUCCGACGUCUUAAAUUGUUUUGAUCAUCAAAACAUAAGUAUCAAAUUACAAGCAACAUCCAUAUGGUUUGUCCAAAAAACGAUGAAACGUGCCGAUAUUCCUGGUAGACACAGAACCGGAACGACAAGUAGGGGAGUGGCUGACGGAACCAAGGUGCAUCGUGAUGGACGACGAGACUUACAUCAAGGCGGACACAAAGCAGUUGCCGGGGCAGGAGUUUUACGUUGCCAUAUCACGGUUGGCCGUUCCUGAGGAGGUAAAGAAGAAGAAUAAGAAGAAGAAGGUGGACAGAUUCACCAAAAAGUUCUUGGUUUGGCAGCCACGACGGGUACCAUCAACGGACAAAUCUACCGGGACGAGUGCCUCCAGAAGCGCCUCCUACCCUUCCUGAUGUCUCACGAAGGCGAGACGCUGUUUUGGCCGGAUUAGGCAUCCUCACACUACGCGCGGCCUGUGUUAGAUUGGUACAGAGACAACAAUGUUGUUUCUGUACCAAAAGACGUCAACCCACCAGACUCGCCGGAACUUCACCCGAUUGAGAAGUUUUGGGGAACCAUGAAGGUGUAAGGUACAAACCUUAACUUUUUCAAUUUCAAUUAGACAUGCAAAUUACGUUCCCACAAAACCGACCAAGUCAUGACCAGACAAAACUAUCCCACGACAAUAAAUUUCCCAACUACCCAACAAUCCAUUCCCACUGUAAAACAACAUUUUCCAGAACCAAUUUCCUAACACCAAAGACAACCAUCAUCAUUUCACACUUGAGAUUUCGAAAGGUUAAUUUAUUGCCUCAGAACGAACAAGUGACUAUGACCAUCCUAACUGCAUACCUAUCAUAUUCCCACCACACAUGAAGAAACCAGAACGGUUGACAAAGAACGAAAACGUAAACGCUGACAUCCACUCGAAGCACGCGACCGACGACAAACAUUCCCACGGAAUAGAAAACUCACCCACGCGACAAUACAAUUCUCCCUUUCGCGCGCAUGAGCUUAAGCCCUCCGAGCGCACGAAAGAAAGAUGCAAAAUAACAACCAAUUAGGAUCGAGACCGAUUACUCUCUCCGAUACAUAUCCCUCUCCAUUCAUUAGAAUGGUGAAGUACUAGAUUAUUUGAACAACACAUUGUAAACAUAAAAACCGUUUGGAAUAAAGAAAUUCACAGUAUAGACACAGUAUAGACACAGUAUAGACACAGUAUAGACACAGUCUAGACACAGUCUAGAGACAGUCUAGAGACAGUCUAGAGAGAGUCUUGACAAAAGUCAAAACGGAGUUUAUGAUAUCAGUGGAUGAUGACAAACCCCUAAAAAGGAGAACUCAGUGAAAAAGUAGUGAAGUUAGAUGUGGCCAAAUGGUGCCACAAAUGGUGAUAAGAAAAUGUCCAAAUGG